ACACUCCUGCGGGAGGCAGCAGUGGGGAAUAUUGCACAAUGGGCGCAAGCCUGAUGCAGCCAUGCCGCGUGUAUGAAGAAGGCCUUCGGGUUGUAAAGUACUUUCAGCGGGGAGGAAGGCAAUACGGUUAAUAACCGUGUUGAUUGACGUUACCCGCAGAAGAAGCACCGGCUAACUCCGUGCCAGCAGCCGCGGUAAUACGGAGGGUGCAAGCGUUAAUCGGAAUUACUGGGCGUAAAGCGCACGCAGGCGGUCUGUCAAGUCGGAUGUGAAAUCCCCGGGCUCAACCUGGGAACUGCAUUCGAAACUGGCAGGCUUGAGUCUUGUAGAGGGGGGUAGAAUUCCAGGUGUAGCGGUGAAAUGCGUAGAGAUCUGGAGGAAUACCGGUGGCGAAGGCGGCCCCCUGGACAAAGACUGACGCUCAGGUGCGAAAGCGUGGGGAGCAAACAGGAUUAGAUACCCUAGUAUCCCAUGA
rnacentral:rRNA from 1 species